UACGGGGGGGCAAGCGUUGUUCGGAAUUACUGGGCGUAAAGGGCUCGUAGGCGGCCAACUAAGUCAGACGUGAAAUCCCUCGGCUUAACCGGGGAACUGCGUCUGAUACUGGAUGGCUUGAGAUUGGGAGAGGGAUGCGGAAUUCCAGGUGUAGCGGUGAAAUGCGUAGAUAUCUGGAGGAACACCGGUGGCGAAGGCGGCAUCCUGGACCAACACUGACGCUGAGUGAGCGAAAGCCAGGGGAGCAAACGGG
rnacentral:rRNA from 1 species